ACAGAAUUCGGGAAACGGCUUGGCGAGCGCUUAGAGCGGCACGUGGACAUAAAAAGCUCCUUUAAGCAAUCUAAUCUACCCCUCUCAAACAGUUCCCAACAAAAACCCCAAACAGGUGCCUUUAAUUGGAGCUAGCAACUUCAAAACCUCAAACCUUAGAAAAAACAGAGUAUCACACUGUGUUAUUGGCUUCUGCUUCUUCUCAGGUUUCAGAUUUUAAAGGGAAAUGUGUUAUCACAGGAACAGAUUCUGCAACUGCAUUAGGCAUUACUGUGUUACCUAUGGUUAUGAGUCUCCAAGAUCCUAAAGUUGUGUCUGUUGUAAUUAAACCUAACUUUGUACCCACAGUGAUUAAUCCAGAAGAUCAAAUAGCACAGGUCAUACCCAUAGAGGAAGGAACCCAGGAUGAACAGGGAAUUUGCAUAAAUUGGGCUCAAAAGGUUACUCUUGACAGACCUAUAAUAGAAUGUACUCUUCUCUCUCCUAAUUCAGGCCAACAGAAAUCUGUGUCUGGCUUACUGGACACGGGUGUGGACAUUUCCAUAAUCUCUGCCAAAGAUUGGCCCAGCACCUGGGGUACAACAAGGCCAGCUGUCGACAUCCAGGGAGUAGGAGGAUCCAAAACUCCUCUCCAGAGCAUUUUGCCACUUCUGGUCCAAGGCCCACAGGCCCUUUGAAGAAAGCUGUGACAGCCUUCACAGACGGCUCAGGGAGGUCCAGUAAUGCAGUGGUAGCCUGGUUUGAAAAAGGAGAAUGAAAAACAGAUGUUCAUCAAGUUGAAGGUUCAUCUCAGAUUGCUGAACUCUCAGCCGUGGAGCAGGUCCAAGAUGGAUACCGUCCAGACUAGUGAGGAUCCACCAAGAAGUUUCCCUCCCAGCUCAACCAGCAGCAGAUCCAGCACCAGCAGAUUCAGCACCAGCUACAGGAAGCGAUCCCCCAUCAGCAUCACUUUUGGGAUAAUCCUGGUUUUUGUGUGCAGCAUAACACCAGCAAAUCAGAAAGACUUAACGUCAGGAGCCCUUGCCACACCUCCUCCAACAAUUCCAAAUUGGGUAAUGCUCCCUGGUCAAAAUGUUUGGCUAAACCUGGCACAAUCACUAAAUACUGACUCUAUCUGUCUCUCUACCUUAGAUCUCUCUCACCCUUUUAAGACCUGUCUGGUAGGAAUCCCCUGGACACCCAGAGAAUGGGGUGAUUUUAGAAAUCAAUAUAUCCCCUGGUGUGAUGACCAUGAUCAGUUUAAA